GUAGGGAAUAUUGGGCAAUGGAUGCAAGUCUGACCCAGCCAUCCCGCGUGUCGGAAGAAGGCCCUCAGGGUUGUAAACGGCUUUUGACGGUGAAGAAUCGACAGGAUGCGUCCUGUUUUGACGGUAGCCGUUGAAUAAGCACCGGCUAACUCCGUGCCAGCAGCCGCGGUAAUACGGAGGGUGCGAGCGUUGUCCGGAUUUAUUGGGUUUAAAGGGUGCGUAGGCUGGAAGGUCAGUCAGCGGUGAAAAGCUGUCGCUUAACGAUAGUCUUGCCGCAGAUACUUCCUUUCUUGGAUGAGGAGGAGGCCACUGGAACGGAUGGUGUAGCGGUGAAAUGCAUAGAUAUCAUCCAGAACACCGAUUGCGAAGGCAGGUGGCUGUACCUUAAUCGACGCUGAUGCACGAAAGCAUGGGGAGCAAACAGGAUUAGAUACCCGGGUAGUCC
rnacentral:rRNA from 1 species